GAUGAACGCUGGCGGCGUGCUUAACACAUGCAAGUCGAACGGAAAGGCUCCUGCUUGCAGGGGUACUCGAGUGGCGAACGGGUGAGUAACACGUGGGUGAUCUGCCCUGCACUUCGGGAUAAGCCUGGGAAACUGGGUCUAAUACCGGAUAGGACCAUGGGUUGGAUGGCAUGGUGGAGAGAUUUUUCGGUGUGGGAUGGGCUCGCGGCCUAUCAGCUUGUUGGUGGGGUAGUGGCCUACCAAGGCGUCGACGGGUAGCCGGCCUGAGAGGGUGUACGGCCACAUUGGGACUGAGAUACGGCCCAGACUCCUACGGGAGGCAGCAGUGGGGAAUAUUGCACAAUGGGCGGAAGCCUGAUGCAGCGACGCCGCGUGGGGGAUGACGGCCUUCGGGUUGUAAACCGCUUUCGCUUGGGACGAAGCGCAAGUGACGGUACCUGGAGAAGAAGCACCGGCUAACUACGUG
rnacentral:rRNA from 1 species